rnacentral:rRNA from 1 species
UCCGGUUGAUCCUGCCAGAGGCCGCUGCUAUCCGGCUGGGACUAAGCCAUGCUAGUCUAGGGGCUUGUACUCCUUCGGGGGUGCAAGCACCGGCGGACGGCUCAGUAACACGUGGACAACCUGCCCUCGGGUGGGGGAUAACCCCGGGAAACUGGGGCUAAUCCCCCAUAGGUGAUGGGUGUUGGAAUGCCCCAUCUCCGAAAGCGCUUAGCGCCCGAGGAUGGGUCUGCGGCGGAUUAGGUAGUUGGUGGGGUAACGGCCCACCAAGCCUAAGAUCCGUACGGGCUGUGGGAGCAGGAGCCCGGAGAUGGACCCUGAGACAAGGGUCCAGGCCCUACGGGGCGCAGCAGGCGCGAAACCUCCGCAAUGCGGGAAACCGCGACGGGGUUAGCCGGAGUGCCCGUGCAUUGCACGGGCUGUCGGGGUGCCUAAACAGCACCCCAUAGCAAGGGCCGGGCAAGGCCGGUGGCAGCCGCCGCGGUAAGACCGGCGGCCCAAGUGGCGGCCACUCUUAUUGGGCCUAAAGCGUCCGUAGCCGGCCCAGUAAGUCCCCCGGGAAAUCUGGUCGCUUAACGAUCAGACUUCCGGGGGAUACUGCUGGGCUAGGGACCGGGAGAGGCCGAGGGUAUUC